rnacentral:rRNA from 1 species
AACAAGGUUUCUGUAGGUGAACCUGCAGAAGGAUCAUUA